rnacentral:rRNA from 1 species
GCUACGGGUGGCUGCAGUGGGGAAUAUUGGACAAUGGGGGCAACCCUGAUCCAGCCAUGCCGCGUGUGUGAAGAAGGCCCUCGGGUUGUAAAGCACUUUCAGUGAGGAAGAACGCCUGGUGGUUAAUACCCAUCAGGAAAGACAUCACUCACAGAAGAAGCACCGGCUAACUCCGUGCCAGCAGCCGCGGUAAUACGGAGGGUGCGAGCGUUAAUCGGAAUUACUGGGCGUAAAGCGCGCGUAGGUGGCUUGAUAAGCCGGUUGUGAAAGCCCCGGGCUCAACCUGGGAACGGCAUCCGGAACUGUCCAGCUAGAGUGCAGGAGAGGAAGGUAGAAUUCCCGGUGUAGCGGUGAAAUGCGUAGAGAUCGGGAGGAAUACCAGUGGCGAAGGAGGCCUUCUGGACUGACACUGACACUGAGGUGCGAAAGCGUGGGUAGCAAACAGGAUUAGCUACCCCGGUAGUC